rnacentral:rRNA from 1 species
UACGUAGGAGGCGAGCGUUGUCCGGAUUUAUUGGGCGUAAAGAGCGUGUAGGCGGCCACACAGGUCUGCUGUGAAAACUCGAGGCUCAACCUCGAGCUGUCGGUGGAAACCGUGUGGCUAGAGUCCGGAAGAGGAGAGUGGAAUUCCCGGUGUAGCGGUGAAAUGCGCAGAUAUCGGGAAGAACACCCGUGGCGAAGGCGGCUCUCUGGGACGGUACUGACGCUGAGACGCGAAAGCGUGGGGAGCGAACAGG